UACGUAGGGGGCAAGCGUUGUCCGGAAUUAUUGGGCGUAAAGAGCGCGUAGGCGGUCCGAUAAGUCGGCUGUGAAAGUCAGGGGCUCAACCCUUGGAAGCCGGCCGAUACUGUCGGACUAGAGUCCGGAAGAGGCGAGUGGAAUUCCCGGUGUAGCGGUGAAAUGCGCAGAUAUCGGGAAGAACACCCGUGGCUAAGGCGGCUCUCUAGUACGGUACUGACGCUGAGACGCGAAAGCGUGGGGAGCGAACAGG
rnacentral:rRNA from 1 species